CCUGUUUCUGCUCCAGGUGUUGAGUCGGAGUCGAGCUGGAGCUGGUGAGGACGUCCAGGAGACACUGCAGGCUGGACUCUGGUGGGACACAGGGACGCUUCUUUAAAAUACAUCAAGUAUCAGACGGAAAGAGUAUCUGCACCUCCUUCAUAAUAUAAAAAGAUCUCAAAUGCCGACCAACUUCUCACAUCUGGAAACCUGAGAUCUAACAAUCCUGCUGAUCAGUUUCAUGAAGAAAAGAAGAUGCCUGAACUGCUGCCAGCUGUAGUACCAUCGGUCUGUUGUAUGUUAUCUUGUAAUCAUAAGAUGGAGUGAGAUGAAUGAAUCCAUCUCUAUGUAUAGUCCAUCCUGUUACCUGUCGGAUCUCCUCUCCAGCUCCUCUGUAGGCCUGCAGAUCGUCCAGGAUGACCCGAGCCUCCAUCAGCACCUGGUUCACCUUCUCCCACACCUCCGUCUCCGACUGGGAGGGCUGAGCGUCUGAACAAACACAAGAACAAAGGUUAGAACCAGCAGGUGUCAUUAAAUACACAGAUUCUGUCCGUUGGUGCGUCUUACUCUCAAAGUCCAGGAAGAAGUUUCCUCCGUUGUUGUCGAUGUCUCUGGUCAACACCUUGAUCAGGUUCCCCAUGCUGCCGGCACAGUUCAGACAAUGUUAGCGUUGGACAGUUUCUGGAUGGUUUUUGCUUGAUCCGGUCACAUUUUUCUCUCUGCCGGCUCGUUUUUCACUGCAAUAUAAAGUCCUGAACCUCUAUGGAAACAGAACAACCAUGAAGAAACGCUUCAAGUGCCGCAAUUUGUAAAAAAGUUUAAUGUCUUUGAUGAAUUACUUGACAAAAUUUCCUUUUUCAAGUGCCAACAGGCAUUAUGAGUACUGGAAAAGAAAUGGUAACUGUAUAUAGUUAAGGUAUUUUACUACCGUAAUUUCCGGACUAUUGAGCACACCUGAAUAUAAGCCACACCCACUAAAUUUAAAAAGAAAAAAAUUUGUACAUAUUAUAAGCCACAGGUGUCCACGUUGUAACAUGAGAUAUUUACACAAAGUAUUUUUUUAAACUUUUAAUUAAAUAAAUGCUUGUUUCCCAAACAGUGCCUGUAACACGGCAGAAACACGGCAUUAACACGGAAGAAACACGGAAGAAACACGGAAGAAACACGGAAGAAACACGGCAGUAACAUGGCAGUAACACGGCAGAAACACGGCAGUAACAUGGCAGUAACACGGCAGUAACACGCCAGUAACACGACAGUAACACAGCAGUAACACCGCUGUAACACGGCUAUAACAUGGCUAUAACACGGCAGUAACACGGCAGUAACACACACUGAGUCAGUUCUUCACGCUGAAGACUCCAACAUCUCACCAUGGAUUCAUUGAUGCCAAGAUUACUGCAGCAGCUCUAUUUCCUUCUUCCAAGGGCAGAUCGAUUACCUUUAACUUGAAAGCUGCAUCAUGUGCAUUUCUUUGUGUGUUUUCCAUGAUGAGGGUGUGGGCUUGAAGCCAAAAUGACUGAUCUGAAGAAUUUAGUGUGAGUGCGUUUGAUUUAAUUCAGUUUCAUUGGUUCACUGUGACCUGUUCAGUAAUUUCAUUCUGAUGUGACGAGUCUAAAUGUAUUGAUGGCAUGAAGCUCGGCAGUAAAAAUCUAUACAUUAGCCGCAUUGUUGUAUAAGCAGCAGGGUAACGGCUUAUAGUCCGGAAAUUACGGUACUUAUAGUUCUGCAGUUCAGCCAAAAACUCUGAUUUUUGUCAUGUGAGUUGAGAUGGAAGUAAUUUAUUUGUAGUACCAAGAAGCGCAGAAAGUUUCGUUUUUUUAAGGAAAAAGUUGAAAAAAUAGAAUCAGCAUGUGUAUCAUUUU